UUUAAAUAUUAGCCAGGCGUAGUGGUGUGUGCCUAUAGUCCUGCAGCUGUAUCAGGAAGAUCACUUGACCACAGAAGAUGAAAGCUGCAGUGAGCUAGCUAUGAUUGCACCACUGCACGCCAGCCUGGACAACAGAGAGAAACCUUGAAAAACAACAACAACAACAACAAUAACAACAACAACAAAGUGUAGUUAUUAGAAACCUAUUCUUAUUUUAAUUUAGAACAUUAUAAAUAUUUCCAUGUACAUGAAAGUUACUUUUCUUCUGUGGUUAUUACUAGGAUUCUGCUGGAAGAAGUAAGAGUGUUCACCACAUAUUUUCUGUUCAAGAGAAUAAUCAUCUCAGUUUUGAUCCCCUGGCAUCAUUUAUUCUCCGUACUGAUCACUACAUCAUGGCCCGGGUCCUUUUUGUGCUGAUUGUGCUGAGCCAGCUCACCAUUCUCAUUAUUUUUAGAUAUCGAGGAUACCCAGAGCUUAAAGAACCUUCAGGGUUUAUAAAUCUGACCUCAUUUUCUCUUCAUGUCUUGAGCAAAAUAAACAUCUUCUACUAUUCUGUGUUGUUGUUGACCCUGUAUACAGUGCUGGGUCCAUGGUUUUUUGGUGAAAUCAUUGAUGGCAAAUUUGGUUGCUGCUUUUCCUUUGGGAUAUUUGUUAAUGGACAUUUCCUACAAGGCAGCAUAACAUUUAUAAUUGGAAUUCUCCAGCUGGCGUUUUUUAACAUCCCCUUGAUGGCUUACAUGUGUUGGAGCUUGCUGCAGCGGUGCUUUGGUCACAACUUCAGGUCUCAUCUCCAUCAAAGAAAAUACUUGAAAAUUAUGCCUGUUCACCUACUUAUGCUACUGCUGUACAUCUGGCAGGUUUAUUCCUGCUACUUUCUUUAUGCAACAUACGGCACCCUAGCUUUUUUAUUCUCCCCUUUGCGGACCUGGUUGACACUGCUGACACCUGUUCUCAUUCGUUGUGUGUGGACACUGAACUCCACCAAGUUUGGAAUCUUCAUGGUGCAGUUAAAAAGCCACCUGAGCUCCUGAAGGCCAUGUCUCACCACUGGCAGCUGGGCAGAAGCCCAGCCUCUGUGUCUGUAGCCCAGGCCUCUACCCCAGUAGCAGGUGGAGGGCCAGGAUUGGUGGGUGAGCUUUAGGGAGCAGCUGCUCAUUUGGAGUCCUGGACGUUGGAGGGAUUACCCACUACUGAUACCUGCAGAAUGGACUGCAGAAAAGUCUCAAAAAUAAUGCCUUUAUUCCUUCCCUCCCUAAGGAGGCAAAGAGUUGAUUUACCUUUGUGAAGAGAAAACCCUUAUCUAGGACAUCCACAGGGUAGAGGUUGGGUGUGUGUACGGGAGUGUCUGAGGCCCAGUGUGUUUUUUAGGGUUACCCCAUGUAAAGCACUUACCGCUGUGCUUGGAAUUCAGCAGCUGUCAAAGGUGCAAUUUCAGGGGCAGGGAACCUUUGAGGAUCUGGGCCCGACCCUCACUACCCCUGAGAUAUUAGUUCCCAGGCCUGUUUUCCCACAGGAUUGUGGGCUCUCUGCUUCC
rnacentral:sRNA from 1 species